AAUAGAUACCCGGGUAGUCCACGCCGUAAACGAUGCGGACUAGGUGUCGGGGGGUAUCGACCCCCUCGGCGCCGCAGCUAACGCAUUAAGUCCGCCGCCUGGGGACUACGGCCGCAAGGCUAAAACUCAAAGGAAUUGACGGGGGGCCCGCACAAGCAGCGGAGCGUGUGGUUUAAUUCGAUGCAACGCGCAGAACCUUACCUCGGCUUGACAUGCACGUGGUACUGACCCGAAAGGGGAGGGACCCGCGAGGGAGCGUGCACAGAUGCUGCAUGGCUGUCGUCAGCUCGUGUCGUGAGAUGUUGGGUUAAGUCCCGCAACGAGCGCAACCCUUGUCCUCUGUUGCCAUCAGGUUAGUGCUGGGCACUCUGAGGAGACUGCCGGUGAUAAACCGGAGGAAGGUGGGGAUGACGUCAAGUCAGCAUGGCCUUUAUGUCUGGGGCUACACACGUGCUACAAUGGCCGGUACAAACCGUCGCGAUGCCGUAAGGUGGAGCUAAUCGGAGAAAGCCGGUCUCAGUUCGGAUUGCG
rnacentral:rRNA from 1 species